AGCGUGAUCCAUCCCGCUCACUGCCUCGGCUUCCUCUUUAGCCUUGCAUAGCCCCUCCAGCCGGGGGAGGCUGCACAAGGCUAAAGAGGAAGCCAAGGCAGCAAGGGAUGGAUCACGCU